GUUCUCCAAUCAAGUAGGACUACCCGCUGAACUUAAGCAUAUCAAUAAGCGGAGGAAAAGAAACUAACAAGGAUUCCCCUAGUAACGGCGAGUGAAGUGGGAAAAGCUCAACUUUGUAAUCUGGCUCUUUUAGAGUCCGAGUUGUAGUCUAGAGAAGUGAUAUUUGCGUCGGACCUUAAACAAGGCUGUUGGAAUGCAGCCUCGUAGAGGGUGAGAAUCCCGUACAUGUUGAGGACUCCCGUAUGCAUUGUGAUACAUUUUCAAAGAGUCGAGUUGUUUGGGAAUGCAGCUCAAAUUGGGUGGUAAAUUCCAUCUAAAGCUAAAUAUUGGCGAGAGACCGAUAGCGAACAAGUACCGUGAGGGAAAGAUGAAAAGCACUUUGGAAA
rnacentral:rRNA from 1 species